UACGAAGGGUGCAAGCGUUAUUCGGAAUCAUUGGGCGUAAAGCGCGCGCAGGCGGAUUGAUAAGUCAGGUGUGAAAUCUCGAGGCUCAACCUCGAAACUGCGCCUGAAACUAUUAGUCUAGAAUUUCGGAGGGGGUAGGGGAAUUUCACGUGUAGGGGUAAAAUCCGUAGAGAUGUGAAGGAACACCUGAGGCGAAGGCGGCUUGCUGGGCCUGGUCUGACGCUGAGGCGCGAAAGCGUGGGGAGCAAACAGG
rnacentral:rRNA from 1 species